rnacentral:piRNA from 1 species
UAUCUAACAGCUCCCGGAACGCGUCUA